GACGAACGCUGGCGGCGCGCCUAACACAUGCAAGUCGAACGAGCGAGCGAGAGCUUGCUUUCUCGAGCGAGUGGCGAACGGGUGAGUAACGCGUGAGGAACCUGCCUCAAAGAGGGGGACAACAGUUGGAAACGACUGCUAAUACCACAUAAGCCCACGGUGCCGCAUGGCACCGAGGGAAAAGGAGCAAUCCGCUUUGAGAUGGCCUCGCGUCCGAUUAGCUAGUUGGUGAGGUAAUGGCCCACCAAGGCGACGAUCGGUAGCCGGACUGAGAGGUUGAACCGCCACAUUGGGACUGAGCCACGGCCCAGACUCCUACGGGAGGCAGCAGUGGGGAAUAUUGCACAAUGGGGGAAACCCUGAUGCAGCGACGCCGCGUGGAGGAAGAAGGUCUUCGGAUUGUAAACUCCUGUUGUUGGGGAAGAUAAUGACGGUACCCAACAAGGAAGUGACGGCUAACUACGUG
rnacentral:rRNA from 1 species